AUUUGGAUGUUUUAAAUAUUUGACGCACAGGUGUCAGUAUCUACGGAGACAGAUUUGUUGACGAGAACUACGUUUUAUCACACAAAGCCGCUGGUUACGUUUCCAUGGCAAACCAUGGCAAAGACACAAAUGGAUCCCAGUUUUUCAUCCUGUUAACUAAGGCCAGGUGGCUGGACGAAAAGCAUGUGGUUUUCGGCAAAGUCAUCAAGGGAAUGGAUGUUGUCCGACAAAUUGGAGAAGUUCCCGCAAGCAAUGUUAACGCUUUGCCCAAAAGGAAAGUCACCAUAUAAGACAGUGGGGUAGUUGGGAUCCAGAAGAAAUAUGAAUUAACUGAAGAACAAAUGGCGUCCGAUGACGAUAUCUAAACUAAAAAGAAACAAAAAAAAAACGACAGACCAACAGCGUGGUAGUCCUCAUUAAUACAUGUUUGACAUGUGGUCGUCUGAUUCAGUUGGACGUUUGACUUGUUGAUUCCAUAUCAUAUCAUUCAUGUACGGAAGUGUAUCACAGAACUGCAUUUUGUAUUUUGAUACUUGUGUUAAUGUGUUGGUUUUGUUCUUUUCCCAAUAAGUCUGUUUCUCUCUGAAGCUUUUAUCAAACACUCUCUGUCACAAAAAAUGUUUUUAUUUUUUCCUCAUAUAUUUUUUUUAAGUUUGUUUAAGUGCAGUUGUAAACAUUUUAAUUUGUUAACUUUGUAAAAUACAUUUUAUUUGUAUAUGAUUUGGUCAUAAUGAAUUAAAGUUGAAAGAUUAUUUCCCAGCAUAGAGUUCUCAUAGAGUGUAUGGCACACCUUUACUCAGCAUUACCAUGUUAAACAAAGCAAGUACUCUUGUAACUUCAACACAGUUGUCAGCUUUUAAUUAAUUCCGGAACACCUUAUUUUGUCCACUUCAGCGGCAUUCCAGUACAUGUAAUCAAUAUGGACACCAGCUAUUGUAUUUGACACAGACAGUAACCAAGUGUUACUACAUUGGAAAGUAAGUGAUUACCAAAGAACAAAAGCAUCUAUAAGCAGCGAAGUAUUAAAGUAAAGCCGUCUCUGCCCAUUACAACACAAUUUUGUCAAAAUCGGAAAGCAUUAAAUUCGUGCCCAUACUUAUUCAGUCACAUGGAACUUUUGAACAAAUUCACAUUUAAUACGAAAAUAGGACUAGUUUCUCUAAUAAACAUUUUAACGUUGUUGUGUGAAUCCAUGAAACAUUUCCAUCAACUGACUUUCCUAUAAAUGAUUAAAGAGCACUUAAUUAACAUUCCAUAAGGCAGCUUGGUCCAUGGUUAUUGAGUGGAAGACCAGUCCUGAAAGCAAAACGUAAAAUUUAUAUUACAUGAUAAAAUGAUGAUUAAAUGAAUUAAAUGAUGUAAACAUUAACCUAUCAAAAAAUCUGAUCCCUGCGGGUAUGUACUUAUGGACUGAAUGUAUUGUAGUAACAAAUCAUAUGGUGUCUGAAUGUAAUUUUUUUCACCGGAUUAAGCUACAGAAAAAAAUGAUAAUAAACCCAAUUCCAAACAUGUU